rnacentral:rRNA from 1 species
GGAGUCUGGGCCGUAUCUCAGUCCCAAUGUGGCCGUUCAACCUCUCAGUCCGGCUACUGAUCGUCGCCUUGGUGAGCCGUUACCUCACCAACUAGCUAAUCAGACGCGGGUCCAUCUUGUACCGAAAAUACUUUUCACACUGCAUCAUGCAAUGCUGUGCGCUUAUGCGGUAUUAGCAGUCGUUUCCAACUGUUGUCCCCCUGUACAAGGUAGGUUACCCACGCGUUACUCACCCGUCCGCCACUCAGUCAACAAAUCGUCACCCCGAAGGGAUCGUGAUAAGUUGCUUCGUUCGACUUGCAUGUGUUAAGCACGCCGCCAGCGUUCAUC